rnacentral:rRNA from 1 species
AACGAACGCUGGCGGCAGGCUUAACACAUGCAAGUCGAACGCAUCCUUCGGGGUGAGUGGCAGACGGGUGAGUAACGCGUGGGAACGUGCCCUUCAGUUCGGGAUAACCCAGGGAAACUUGGGCUAAUACCGGAUACGUGCGAGAGCAGAAAGAUUUAUCGCUGAAGGAUCGGCCCGCGUCUGAUUAGCUAGUUGGUGGGGUAAUGGCCCACCAAGGCGACGAUCAGUAGCUGGUCUGAGAGGAUGAUCAGCCACAUUGGGACUGAGACACGGCCCAAACCCCUACGGGGGCCAGCUGUGUGGAAUAUUGGACAAUGGGCGCAAGCCUGAUCCAGCCAUGCCGCGUGAGGGAUGAAGGCCUUAGGGUUGUAAAGCUCUUUCGUCCGGGACGAUAAUGACGGUACCGGAAGAAGAAGCCCCGGCUAACUUCGUGCCAGCAGCCGCGGUAA